CUAUAAUGCAGUCGAGCGACAGAUAAGGAGCUUGCUCCUUUGACGUUAGCGGCGGACGGGUGAGUAACACGUGGGUAACCUACCUAUAAGACUGGAAUAACUCCGGGAAACCGGGGCUAAUGCCGGAUAACAUUUAGAACCGCAUGGUUCUAAAGUGAAAGAUGGUUUUGCUAUGACUUAUAGAUGGACCCGCGCCGUAUUAGCUAGUUGGUAAGGUAAUGGCUUACCAAGGCAACGAUACGUAGCCGACCUGAGAGGGUGAUCGGCCACACUGGAGCUGACACACGGCCCAGACUCCUACGGGUGGCAG
rnacentral:rRNA from 1 species